CUAGGGCGCAGCCCCGGCGGCGUCGAGAGCGGAGUAGGGGGCUGGGGGGGGUGGCGGCCGCCGAGUUCCCCCCCUUUUUUUUCUCCCCCGCCUGGGACCCGGCGGCGUCUCCGGGCGGCUUCUUGGUCGACGGCGCCCCCUUUUUCCUGCUCCCUCCUCCCCCGGUUGUAGGGGGAGAAGCGGCCUCCCCCCCGCCCCACGCACACACCCCGUCUCUUCCCCGCCUGGCGGGCGCCCAGUGCGGUGGUUGGGCGAGUGCUGGUGCGGGCGCUCGCUCGCGGUCUCUGUGCGCUUGGAAUAUGGUUGGGGAAAUGGAAACCAAGGAGAAGCCCAAGCCGAGCCCCGAUUACCUGAUGCAGCUGAUGAACGACAAGAAGCUCAUGAGCAGCCUCCCCAACUUCUGCGGGAUAUUCAACCACCUCGAGAGGCUGCUGGACGAAGAAAUUAGCAGAGUACGGAAAGACAUGUAUAACGACACGUUAAAUGGUAGUACGGAGAAGAGAAGUGCAGAAUUACCUGAUGCUGUGGGACCUAUUGUACAGUUACAAGAGAAACUAUAUGUGCCUGUAAAAGAAUAUCCAGAUUUUAAUUUUGUUGGAAGAAUCCUUGGGCCCAGAGGACUAACUGCUAAACAGCUUGAGGCUGAAACAGGAUGUAAGAUCAUGGUCCGAGGCAAAGGGUCCAUGAGAGACAAGAAAAAGGAAGAACAAAACAGAGGCAAGCCAAAUUGGGAACAUCUGAAUGAAGAUUUGCAUGUACUAAUCACUGUGGAAGAUGCUCAAAACAGAGCGGAAAUCAAAUUGAAGAGAGCUGUGGAGGAAGUAAAAAAAUUACUGGUACCUGCAGCAGAGGGAGAAGAUAGCCUUAAAAAGAUGCAGUUGAUGGAACUUGCAAUUCUCAAUGGCACCUACAGAGACGCCAAUAUCAAAUCACCAGCCCUUGCCUUUUCUCUUGCAGCAACAGCCCAGGCUCCACGGAUUAUCACAGGGCCUGCGCCUGUUCUCCCACCAGCUGCCCUGCGUACCCCUACGCCAGCUGGCCCUACCAUAAUGCCUUUGAUCAGACAAAUACAGACCGCUGUCAUGCCAAAUGGAACUCCUCACCCAACUGCUGCAAUAGUUCCCCCAGGACCUGAAGCUGGUUUAAUUUACACACCUUAUGAGUAUCCCUACACACUGGCACCUGCUACAUCAAUUCUUGAGUAUCCUAUUGAACCCAGUGGUGUAUUAGGUAUGGCUUUCCCAACGAAAGGCUAAGAAUUCAAGAACGGUCCUAACUGAACCCUCAUCAGAGCUGACUUUUAACACAUGCUUAGUUUUCAGCAGCCUUGAAAAAUUGUAGCCUAGCAGUCAGUGACUUACUUGCACUUUUUUGCACAUAGAAUUAAAAUGCUAUUAAUUUGGUGUAGCCUGUAGUAUAUAUGAUAAACUAGCUGUGAUUUAUGAGUGUAUGGUAGUGUACUGACUGCUAUGUAUUCUGUACUAUUUGCUUUACUAAUCACCUAAUUCAUUGCAGUUCAAAGUUAUUGACUUAGUUUUAAACCACAGUCUGUAGGCUUAAGGAAUUGCUUUAAAGCUUUUUUUUAAAAAGGUAAAAACUGGAAGUUGUUUUAAGAUUAGUAAAGAAACUUCAGUAUUAAAAAUGGCAUUAUUUAAAAAUAGUCCUGCUACAAGGAAGGCACUUCAGUGAAUAUGUGACUAGUAAAGCUCAAAUAUGCUUGGGUCUAAUAGAUUUCAUGAAAUAUUGUAAUCUUGAGUUUGUAAAUGAAUGGGUAAUGCAGGUUAAGGCCCAGAUGCUUAAAAUGUAAUAUUAAUCUGCACAGAGGUGCUCCAUAUAUUAAGAUUAAAAUUUGAAACUACUGUGCCUUAACUAGUUGCUUUCUUAAAAUGAAUUUUAGAAAGUGAUCGAUUUAAAUCCAUUUUCAUAAGCCUGCUGUUAAUGUUUUUUCAAAUGUUUUCUAACUGUCUUGGUAAUUGCAAUUUAACUAGGUGCGGUGGCUACUAAAGUUCGAAGGCACGAUAUGCGUGUCCAUCCUUACCAAAGGAUUGUGACCGCAGACCGAGCCGCCACCGGCAACUAACCUAUGACCUUCUGACCUCUGAACUCUUCACCCAAUGAUGACCUGACCAUGCCUGCCUGCUGAUCAGUUAACUGGUAAUCGCCUUUGCUUGCCUGUCUUCAGUGCAGCGAGCUGAGGCACUUUUCCGUUCGUCUUACCAUCUAACAAAAGACAAAGAACUUGUCCUCCAACUCAACUUUUUUUCCCUGUUUGGGUGAAAGUGGUUCUAGAACCUGCACUGAAUAGUAGUAAAGCAAUAAGGUCCAAUUCAUCCCUCCGCACUGAUCAUCCUUUAGUGUCCCACCCUAAAUGAAUGGUAAGAAGGGCCUCAUGUAAGAGAUGGAGGCAGACGUCCCUUAACUCCCUGAUGACAGAGGCAGUUACUGUGAGACUUCUAGGAAUCUUUUUCUUCUGAUAAAGAAGUCAAAGCUCUCUUUGAAUGUACUGUGUGAUGAUGCAUCAUGCAUGAACCUUUGGUCAGGGAUGUCAUUGGUGAAGGGAUUCCUAAAAGUAUUCAAAAUUUGACAUGCAGUGUAGUCACUACUAGUGCCCUCAAAGGGCAGAAGAUGCAGCCUUUUUUAUAUUACCUGCCAAAUUGGGUGUUUUUUAAAAAAAAAAAAGUGCCAUGAAAGAUAGGUUACUGAAUUUUUGAACUACAUCAAUGCAUAAACAAAAUAGCAACACUAUUUAAGCUAAACCUGAGAUAAAGUUCCUUUUACUAUACAACUUCCUUAAAAGAUUACAUGAGUACAAGGUACAUGCAUUAUGUGUCACAUUACUGGGCAAACUGUUCAAAUAUUUUUUUAAACCUCCCUGUAUAGAGAAAAUUCAUUAAGGAUGUAAAAGCCAUGCUUGCCUAUUUGCUGUAUACAUGUAAUGAAAUUGUAGAUAAAGUGUAGUGCAUUGAAACAAAUUGAAAAAAAGUAGAUACUUUUACUAUACAAGGGUGCUGGUGCAGAAAAAAAUAUAUUUUUGGAAAUGUAGCAUUUUAUACUUUCAAGUGUUAUAAAAAAGAAAAAGAACAAAGAAACCCUUUAUUUCAUUAAAUGAUUUUUUCUGGUGGUUGUCAAGAAACAAAAGACCAAAAGAGCCUUUUUGUCUUUCUUUUUUAUUUUUUAAGUAUUGGAAUAAGUAUAAAGAAAAGAAAGUGCCUUAUUUUCUUCAUGGUCAUUUAAUCAAAUGUCUCAUAUAAUCAGCUCCUCCCUCAGACAGCAAGUAAAUGCAUGCCACUCAGUCGCCCAGUAUGUGAAAAGAAGCUGUGAAGAAAGAUAAAUCAGUUGACCAUUCAAAUUACCUGAUUUUUGCCAUAAGAUGAUGUAACUUUGCCAGGAUUUAUACUGUGAAAUAGAAUUGUACCACCAACAGCCAACCACAGUAUUUUUGUAACACGUUCCCUUUUCAAUUGUAGACGAUAUAUUUUUAUAGUACUUGCUCAGCCUUAAACCAAAGGGUUCUAUGAUGCAGUCUCAUUCUAAAUCAAAGCAUGAAAUGACAGUAUUUAUAAAGUAGCAAGUGUUUAUUUUUUUUCCUUUGGAAUCAGUUGUACUGUUUCUAUUUGAAAUAAAUACGGGAAAGUACUGCAGAACUUGCUACAGAAUAAUUUUGUCAGUGAUUAAAUUAAAUAUUCAUACAGUCCAUCUAUCUUUUAAACAUGUUUUAAGUUUUUAGGUGUUUUCCUCUACAAUACCAAAUAGUGUACACAGUGUAUAGUUCUCAUCAAACUCUUACUUGAUGAAUGUUAACUGCUGGUUGCGCUUUACUAAAAAGAUAAAAAGUAUCAAUUAACUGUCUUUAAAGUCCAGUUAUGCUUCUGGCGUCAGGAUAAGUUCAUGCAACUGGGCUAGUGUGAAAUACUGUACGCACAAAAGUGAAUUAUAAAAAUAACGAAUGAGUAGUGGUAUGCUAAUGGCUUUAUCAUAUUUGGCAAAUAUCAGGUGAUAACUUGCCCCCUCCAUAGUGUCAACUUCUUAUCCUCCUAAAAACCUUCACAGCUUCCAAAUUAAAGGUCAAUAGUAAGAUAGGUUAGAGGGCUUAUUUUUUUUAAGCACCUGCAUGGUGACUUUGUCUAACAUUGUGUCUCACCUGGAAACAAGUAUCAGUUUAUUUACUAUGCAAUAAACAUUCAUCCUUUUGUACUCAGCUAGUUUUUCUUUUAUUCUGCCACUGGCUUUGUCUUCCUGUUACACAUAGGGUUGUUUUGGUUUGACUUUCAGUAUAUGCUGUGCCAUUUUGAUUUUUGUUUGGUUGAAUAAACUUGCGACACUCAAACAUUUUGAAGAGAGAAUUGCUUUAAAAAAAAACAUUACCAGUAUUUGAUCCAGUUUCAUCUCAACUAUGAUAAACCUGGACAUUUUUAGAUGCUGAUCAAAGGUCUCUUCUUGGGAGAAGUGUGACUUGUAAUAGUAAUGUUUGUUCUAAAAAAAGUUUGAAGACUUAGUUGACAACAUUUUUGAUCAACUUAAAGCAUGACUUUUGAAAUCUCUGAAUGCCUUGGUUCUCAGUAUUAUCACUUAUUGAAUUUUUCUUUUAUUAAAAUAUGUAGUUUAAGACUUUUUUCUGACAGUAUUAUGUAAUUUUUUUAGAGUGGGUAUAUGGGAGUGUCGCUUGUAUGUAACCGUACAGAUGACAUGUAUUUGUCUAUUCUUUAUCUUAGUUUGAUGCUAUGUAUGUACCAUAACCAACCUAUUGCCUAUGAGAAACAUGUAAGAUAAUGUAUUUACAGCCAUUGUUACAAGUUUAUAAUGUAUUUUUCUAUCUUGUUUUAUAUGUAUGUUAUAUAACAUUCAGAAGAAUUUUUUUCCUGACUGAGAAAAGGAUACAAAAAUGCAAAACCCACAAUUUUGAUAACUGAAAAUUGCCAAUUGUUUUGCAGUACUUUAUUAUUAUAUUGGGAGUGUUGUCUUUCUUGGGCUUUUAGUUAGCUACUGGAUUGAAUACAUUAGACAUAUUUGGGUUUUAGUUGGGUUUUUACAUAGCUUGCAUUUUAAUUCUUUGGUUCUUUGCUGUUUCUAUUAACCCAUAGCAUUAUUUUAAUAAAUGUUAUAAUACCAACCUACUAACUUUGGACUAUGUCAGUUUAUUAACCAUUACAUGUUUAAUUAAAAUAAACAAGGAAAGACGGAAGAAUGUACAGUCUUGAGUUAUUGGACUAACCCUGAAGAACGUGACCACAGAUAACACGUGACUUGUUUUAUGUUGUUUGUUUGGCUGACAUUCUGCACACUACUAUUAAAUUGGCUUUGAUCAUUCUGGCCUCUUACUUUGGUGAGUCGGUGCCAGUAGAUUUGGGAACAAAGUAGCAUUAUUGGAAGCAUUCUUCUAGAGUCUUGCCACUUGCCUUUCAGCAUCUGCAUUACUAAUUCCACACUUUCUUUCUCUGAAAUAAUCACUGUCAGCUCACAGCAGAAGGGCAAAGAUACCAAUCAGUUGUUACGAUCUGACCAGAAAAACCAGUUUGAUUCUUUGUUGAGCCAUUAUGAAUUCACAUAAAAAUUAAAUGUGAUUGGAAAUUUGUUGAUUAAAAAUAUGAUUCAGCAUUCAAAAUGUUACUCUGCUAUUAUAUUCUUGUUCUGAAGCAAGCAAUAUUCUACCCUGUAAGACUGGAAGAAUUUGCCUCUUUAAUUUGUAACUCUGAAUUAUUUCAGUUAUGAUCCUGAAGGAAUUAAAGCUGCAGUUCUUAGACUAUGUAAUUCUUAGGUAAUUUUACUAAUUUCACUUUGACUGCUCUGUAAUAAGCAGUUUGAACAAAACUCUAGGUUAGACUUCUUCAUAUAUCUACUGUAGUAUCUCAACACCACUAAGCUCAGGGCUGUAUAAAAAGCCAAAAUAGGUUAUUCUGAACAAAUAGGUUAUUUUGCAAAAAAAAUACACAAACUGUUGAAGUAGUAGCCAUUUCUAAGAAGUAGUUUUAACAUUAUCCAAGAUUUGUUCUUGUGGAUGAUGGUAGCAAAAUGACUGCAGAUAUAAUUUAAACUUGUUUUCCUGGAGAUUUCCUGUUUUAUUUUGUUUUUUUGAAAUAAUUGUUUAAAACAUAGAUUUUAUAACGUAUGCUUCAAAAUUUUAAAUAUUUUCUAUUCUUCAGAUCAGUUUAUUCCCUUUCAUUCUAUAUACAUUUGUCUAUCUUAGAACAAAAUAAGUUUUUUUAAAAAUAGAGUUUGGCCAUUUAGAAGAAGAAAUGAUGGCGGGGGGGGGGGUGGCACAUGAGCAAAUAAAUUCUUCCUUAGCAUUUUUUUCAUGUUUUCCAGUGCUGUGUACAGCUGUAUACUUCAGUUAUGUCAUUCACACAUGCAAUCCAUCAUGUAUUGUUAGGUGGAAAUGUGGAAAGUACUUGAGUUCUUUAUUAAUUUUGACACAAUUAAAAAUAUAAAUGAUUGAAAUCCAGAGGGUUAAUGCUUAAUGUUCUCCAGAGAAAACCCAAUACAUACCCUACUAAAUUUUGCUCAUAGGCAGCAUAAAAUGUAAACAAGUAUUUACAGUGGAGCUUUAUGAUCCACUUCUGUAUUGCAGCUAUAAAAUUGUAAUCAAUAUGCUUUAAGGGUUUAGUGGAUAUUAAAAUUUUUAUGAGAUCUAAAGUUAAGGAUGUAUACACUUAUUUGAAAUAGCAACUAGCAUUGAUUAAAAUUUUUAGAAUAUGGACAGUGAGGAAUGGCCAUUUUUAUGUAGUACUCUUGUAUUCUUUACAGGGUAAUAUGCAAACCCUACUGUGUGAAAGAAGAAAGUAUUUCCAUUCACAUACGGGGGCAUGGGCAUUAUUUCCUCCACAGGCAGUCUCUUGUGUUUCAUGGAGCAAUGCUCCAGAGGGCCACUCCCCAGAGAGCUGCUGUUGGAAAUUCUGCAGUGUGAGCACCCAAAGGGCAGUUGAUUCCCUACCAUAAACUCACAAGAAAAUAAUACAUUUUAAUUUUGAUGGUGCAGUGAUGAAUCUUUGUCUGAGGACGUUAGUGAUCAUUUGAUCAGCACUUAUACCAUGGCAUUCCUGGAGUUAAGCAAAAUUUAUUGAUAGCUGUGUUUUCUUUUGGAAAAAAAACGGAGAGUAUUUGUGACGUUUUAAUGCAUUAAACUAGUAUAAAUGUAAGGUGUAAGGUAUAAGAACUCUGUUCAUAUGUAAAUAGACAAUGGAAAAACUCCAUGUAAGGGUGUAAACUGAGAAAUAGCUCUAGUUCUAAAGAUAAUUUUAAUACGUCAGUUACACUACUGGAAAAAAAACACUGAUUUAAAGACACUAGUAUCUAGAUAAAGUGAUACUCUUUAGUAAAUGUACUAAGGACCAUCUCAUGUUGAACUACUCGUGUAGUUUCCGAGCAACCAUGCCUUGGAUCACACUUUAUGUUUAGAAUACUUAUUCAUACAUAAAGAUCAAUUAUGACUUUUGCAAUUAAAGUAGAAUUUGCCCAAUUAAUUUGGGGUUCAAUUAAGUAGUUCAAUUUGGAGAAUUGAAUUUUUUCAGCACACAGGGUCCACUGAAGUAAUGUCUAUAAUAAAUGCUGAUUGGACAGUAGUCUGCCAUCCAGUAAGUACAUAGCAGGUGUGACUGUGUUUAUAUAUUUUGAUAAAGGUUUCUGAAACAACCUAUUGCAUAGAAUAAAGAUAGGGCCACUGUUUUAAAACAUUCCUUAGCUACAAAUUGUAUUUUUAUUGUAUUUGGCAUUCCUAUCUUUAAUUCUGGUGUAGAAUUAAUAUAUAAAGUGAACACAAUUGCCAGUAAAAUAUUUUAUGUGGCGAUCAAUGUUGAAUCAAACUGGUUAACAAAAAAAAUGGUGCUCCUGGUUCUUUUUACACUACUUACUCACUAGCUGCAGGUGUAAGAACUCUACCUUGAAAGUGGGUAUUUGAGAAGCAGCAGGUGGCUUUCUUGCAGUAUUCACGUUUUGUUGCCAACCAUUUUAUGUCCUUUAUUGACAACAGGAGAAAUUACUCCCCAGGAAAAUCAUUAGCUUCUGGGGAACUAAUGAUUACAGAAGGAUUUUUAAUAUAUAAAUAUGGCAUUGUGACAGAAUGUUUGAAUAAUUUAAAGUUUUUGUUUGUUUGUUUGUAGAAAAAAUGGACAUUGCCCAAACACAUGUAAAUAAAAAACAUCACACCUGUACAUGAUGUGCAAUAAAAACUGGAAAAGUUACAUGUGCUUUAUCCUCAAAAGCCAAUUGGCAGCUUGCAGGGCUGCCAUUAGUUUUAUAUUUUGAGAAGUCAAAUUUUAUUCUGUAUCUAAAUGUAUAGCAGAAUAAAGAAUAUACCUUUUGCACUCUGUAA